rnacentral:rRNA from 1 species
UACAGAGGUCCCAAGCGUUGUUCGGAUUCACUGGGCGUAAAGGGUGCGUAGGUGGCCAGGUAAGUUUGGUGUGAAAGCUCGGAGCUUAACUCCGAAAUGGCAUUGAAUACUAUCUGGCUGGAGGGUCGGAGGGGAGACUGGAAUUCUCGGUGUAGCAGUGAAAUGCGUAGAUAUCGAGAGGAACACCAGUGGCGAAGGCGAGUCUCUGGACGACACCUGACACUGAGGCACGAAAGCUAGGGGAGCAAACAGG